GUGCAUCCUGAGGGCAUGGGCUGGUCCAGGCACGGCAGGAACUGACAUGGAAGGAGAGCAGCACCAGUGGACACCAGAGGGGUUUGAAGAGGGUCAGUUUCAUCAUCCGUAAACUUGCCCUUGGUGUAGGGCACCCAGUCCAGAAUCAUCCACCAGUCCGUGGCCCACACCAGCCCCACAGCGUGAGGUCCACUUUCUAAAGAAUGGACCAAGGACCUGCAAGGCACCCCCUCCAGCACGCACAACAAUAUGGAAUUGCUUCUUCAGCCAUCAUCCUUACCACCUCACUAAGUCCAUAUGAAGAGAAGACCAGAAAUCGGAGGCGAAUUCGUUGACACACAAGCCAGACAUCAGAUUCAGGAGUUGACAGACUAAGGGAGAGCCUGCCACAGGGGACUACCUGGGAGCGCCACCAGAGUGGAGGGUGGUGAAAGAAUUUUUGAGAACUUGACACUUGCCUCCUGGAAUUUGAGGGCACCUGUGAACAUAGAGAAUGAUUCCGACUUCUCCCCCAGAGAAUGCUGCCCGUGGAAUAAAAUAACCUAUGACAGCGGGAGAGCCAUCUGGCAAAAAACUGAGGACCUCAGUCCAACAGCCAGCAAGGAACUGAAUCCUGCCAAAAACCAUGUGACUGAACUUGAACAUGGAUCCUGUCCCAGCUGAGCCUUGAGAUAAGACUGCAGCCCCAGCUGAUACUUCGACGGCAGCCUAUGAGAGACCCUGAGUGGACACCUUGAUGGAAAUCCUAUGAGAGAUUGUGAAGUAGAUGACUCAGUUAGGCCAUGCCAUUCUUGACCCAUAGAAAUGGUGAGACCAUAAAUGUGUGUUUCUUAAGCUAAGUUUUAUUUUUUUAAAGGUGGAAUUCAAGAUUAAAAGCAAUAAACAAUACACAAAGGGGCAUAAAUCGUUCCAUCUUUAAUGAAAGUAUGAGCCAUAAACCUUUAUGUACUGAAUUGUUAUAGUAGCUUAAGAUGUAAAGCAAAAGUCUUAGAAACACCAAGAAGAUUUUGAUAAAAACCACAACCAUAAUGGGAGAUUAUAAUAUACCUCCCUCAAAACUUAACUGAUCAAGUACACAAAAAAUAAGCUAGAAAGCAGAUGAUUUGGGGGACAUCUGGAUGGCUCAGUCUGUUGAGCAAUCGACUCUUGGUUUUUGCUCAGAUCAUGAUCUCAGGGUCAUGGGAUUGAGCCCCCUGUUGGGCUCCACGAGCAGCGAGGA